UACCAGCACCCCGAGUGGUCGGGACGAUUAUUGGGCCUAAAGCAUCCGUAGCCGGUCCUACAAGUCUUCCGUUAAAUCCACCUGCUUAACAGAUGGGCUGCGGAAGAUACUAUAGGGCUAGGAGGCGGGAGAGGCAAGCGGUACUCAGUGGGUAGGGGUAAAAUCCUCUGAUCCAUUGAAGACCACCAGUGGCGAAGGUGGCUUGCCAGAACGCGCUCGACGGUGAGGGAUGAAAGCUGGGGGGAGCAAAGCCGG
rnacentral:rRNA from 1 species